CCAAGUCAUACAUUACCAACUCCAACCCAUGUUAUUCCUUGGUCAUUCCAAAAUCGCCAAACAACCAUUCCUUCUACCAAGCUUACCAGACAAACUCAGACACAUCCCAGACAUCCCCCAAUCUCCUCACAACAGUGUAGGACACCCAGAUUAUUAUCCACCAAAAUAGACAUCAAAACAAACAUAACAACCAUGCCCUACACAAUAUCAAACUAAUCUUAAAAUAAGAAGGAAAUCACCAAGGCCCAGAGAUCAUACAAACAACUCCAUCAUCCUAAUGCAGGCUCCAAGGUACGAACGUUCGGGCCAGACACUUCAUCGAUCGUCUCCUUCAUCAUCUCCGCAAAGCGACCAACCAUUUCGUGAAACUGCUUCAACCCAGACAAUGGAAGGAUGAUGGACGAUCGAUCCAUUCCAGCAACCUCAGAUAUUCUUAAGAAAUGGCCUCUGUUAUUGUUUCCCAGGUCAAAGUAAAACCUCUUCUGAUCUACUCUUAUAUAAUUU
rnacentral:misc_RNA from 1 species